rnacentral:rRNA from 1 species
GGGUUGUGAGGUUAAGCGACUAAGCGUACACGGUGGAUGCCCUGGCAGUCAGAGGCGAUGAAGGACGUGCUAAUCUGCGAUAAGCGUCGGUAAGGUGAUAUGAACCGUUAUAACCGGCGAUUUCCGAAUGGGGAAACCCAGUGUGAUUCGUCACACUAUCAUUAACUGAAUCCAUAGGUUAAUGAGGCGAACCGGGGGAACUGAAACAUCUAAGUACCCCGAGGAAAAGAAAUCAACCGAGAUUCCCCCAGUAGCGGCGAGCGAACGGGGAGCAGCCCAGAGCCUGAAUCAGUGUGUGUGUUAGUGGAAGCGUCUGGAAAGGCGCGCGAUACAGGGUGACAGCCCCGUACACAAAAAUGCACAUGCUGUGAGCUCGAUGAGUAGGGCGGGACACGUGGUAUCCUGUCUGAAUAUGGGGGGACCAUCCUCCAAGGCUAAAUACUCCUGACUGACCGAUAGUGAACCAGUACCGUGAGGGAAAGGCGAAAAGAACCCCGGCGAGGGGAGUGAAAAAGAACCUGAAACCGUGUACGUACAAGCAGUGGGAGCACGCUUAGG